CCAGCUUCCUGACUGCAGCUGCCCUGUGACCAGCUGCUGUGGGCUCCAGCUGCCCUGUGACCAGCUGCUGUGGGCUCCAGCUGCCCUGUGACCAGCUGCUGUGGGCUCCAGCUGCCCUGUAACCAGCUGCUGUGGGCUCCAGCUGCCCUGAGACCAGCUGCUGUGAGCUCCAGCUGCUAUGCCUUCCUCUAUGAUAGGCUGCACCCUCACACUGUGAGCUAGAAACACGGGCUUCCGGGGGUUAGAGAGAAGGCUCCGCAGUUAAGAGGAUGUGUUAUUCCUGCAGAGGCCCUGAGUAUGACCCCCAACGCCCCCAGCCAACAAUCAGUUCGCAGAUACCUGCAUCCCCAGCGCCAGAAGACUUGACAUGCCUCUGGCCUCCUGAAGCGCCUGCCUGUUCACGGACACGUGCUCACACAUGUACACGGACUCUCGUGCACACACAAAUGGAUGAUAGCAAGGUCUUAGACAGAAUGUCUCCACUAAGAAGAACCAGAAACAAGCCUGGAAACAGGUGGAUUUGAACCAACGUGACCCCACAUCACAUGGGCUGUCUGACUCUCUGAGCUUCCACUCACAGCCUAAUUGUCCCUUGGAGGACAGAGCUGUCAGUGUGAAUUGGUCUGGUUUAUCCGAAAACUAUGUUCUGGUUGGUCCACCCACAUCCACCAUUGCCAGAGCACUUAAAUUUCCUGAGCUUCAAGCCCCAGCCUUCAUCUUUCUGCGCAAACACUUGGGAGGAAAGUAGACCGUAAGACCCCAGGAAGAGUACUCCACGUCCUCCCAGCGAAUAAGUUAAACGUAACAAAUGGAAGCUUGCCAAAGUCGGAAUUGUAAAACUAAUAGGGCUGUUAAAACCAGCUUCCCUGAAAAUUAUGCAUUGGUUGGUCUGCUUCUUAUAAUGGCGAAUAGUGAGUCUUGAUCGCUCAUCAGAGCUCACGCCAUAAAUUAGGUUUUGAGAG
rnacentral:sRNA from 1 species